rnacentral:rRNA from 1 species
UACGUAGGGUGCGAGCGUUGUCCGGAAUUAUUGGGCGUAAAGGGCUCGUAGGCGGUUUGUCGCGUCGGGAGUGAAAACCUUGGGCUUAACUCAGGGCUUGCUUUCGAUACGGGCAGACUAGAGGUAUGCAGGGGAGAACGGAAUUCCUGGUGUAGCGGUGAAAUGCGCAGAUAUCAGGAGGAACACCGGUGGCGAAGGCGGCUCACUGGCCCGGUACUGACGCUGAGGUGCGAAAGCGUGGGGAGCGAACAGG